rnacentral:rRNA from 1 species
AUUGAACGCUGGCGGCAUGCCUUACACAUGCAAGUCGAACGGCAGCACGGGUGCUUGCACCUGGUGGCGAGUGGCGAACGGGUGAGUAAUACAUCGGAACAUGUCCUGUAGUGGGGGAUAGCCCGGCGAAAGCCGGAUUAAUACCGCAUACGAUCUACGGAUGAAAGCGGGGGACCUUCGGGCCUCGCGCUAUAGGGUUGGCCGAUGGCUGAUUAGCUAGUUGGUGGGGUAGGCCUACCAAGGCGACGAUCAGUAGCUGGUCUGAGAGGACGACCAGCCACACUGGGACUGAGACACGGCCCAGACUCCUACGGGAGGCAGCAGUGGGGAAUUUUGGACAAUGGGCGAAAGCCUGAUCCAGCAAUGCCGCGUGUGUGAAGAAGGCCUUCGGGUUGUAAAGCACUUUUGUCCGGAAAGAAAUCCUUGGCCCUAAUACGGUCGGGGGAUGACGGUACCGGAAGAAUAAGCACCGGCUAACUACGUG